rnacentral:lncRNA from 1 species
UUGUUUUUUGUUUUCUGUGUAUCAUAUUGAAUAUUUUUGCUGCUGUUGAUAUAUUUACAUGUUAGUAAUUUUGAUGGCUUUUGGAUAAUUCCACUCUAGAGGGAGACGUGGUGGGCGGUCCUUCCUGUGACACGACCCUUGAGUGACAGUUCUAUUUGAUUGCCUCCGGUACUGUGAGGAAAGGACACGACUCUAUGGUGAGGACUGAUGGACAUACAUUAUCUGAGAAAAGAAACUACCAGGUGACAAACAGCAUGUUUGGUGCUUCAAGAAAGAAGUUUGUAGAGGGGGUCGACAGUGACUACCAUGACGAAAACAUGUACUACAGCCAGUCUUCUAUGUUUCCACAUCGGUCAGAAAAAGAUAUGCUGGCAUCACCAUCUACAUCAGGUCAGCUGUCUCAGUUUGGGGCAAGUUUAUACGGGCAACAAAGU